rnacentral:rRNA from 1 species
CUCGUGGAACGAGCGGCGGACGGGUGAGUAACACGUGGGCAACCUACCUGUAAGAUCGGAAUAACCCCGGGAAACCGGGGCUAAUGCCGGGUAAUACUUUUCUUCGCAUGAAGGAAAGUUGAAAGAUGGCUUCUUGCUAUCACUUACAGAUGGGCCCGCGGCGCAUUAGCUAGUUGGUGAGGUAACGGCUCACCAAGGCGACGAUGCGUAGCCGACCUGAGAGGGUGAUCGGCCACACUGGGACUGAGACACGGCCCAGACUCCUACGGGAGGCAGCAGUAGGGAAUCUUCCGCAAUGGACGAAAGUCUGACGGAGCAACGCCGCGUGAACGAUGAAGGUCUUCGGAUCGUAAAGUUCUGUUGUUAGGGAAGAACAAGUACCGUGCGAAUAGAGCGGUACCUUGACGGUACCUAACGAGGAAGCCCCGGCUAACUACGUGCCAGCAGCCGCGGUAAUACGUAGGGGGCAAGCGUUGUCCGGAAUUAUUGGGCGUAAAGCGCGCGCAGGCGGUUCCUUAAGUCUGAUGUGAAAGCCCACGGCUCAACCGUGGAGGGUCAUUGGAAACUGGGGAACUUGAGGACAGAAGAGGAGAGUGGAAUUCCACGUGUAGCGGUGAAAUGCGUAGAUAUGUGGAGGAACACCAGUGGCGAAGGCGACUCUCUGGUCUGUUUCUGACGCUGAGGUGCGAAAGCGUGGGUAGCAAACAGGAUUAGAUACCCUGGUA